GUAACUAAGACGCAGCCUCAUGUUGUCUUAACUUGAGUGAACCAUGUUGGGAUCCUGGUUGGUACGGCUAGACAUGGUAACAUCAUGGAAGGGAGAUAUUACCCCAACUCUCAAUGGUACCAAUAGGGUAGACUUGCCAGAAUACAGCCUUGGAUUACAAUUACCACACGUACCACAAGGAGCUGCCCCCUUCAAAGAGAUGAAUAUGGGGUGUGGGGAAGGGCAUUCCUAACGGCAUUCCUAACUGUCAGCUGGCCACAGGAAAAGAAGGAAACACCCAUCUAAGCAGAGCUGAGCAAAAGCCGAAGUUCCCUGGUGUGCAUAGUACAGCAAGAGUCCCAUAAAGAUGAGGAGCAGGGUUCAGUGGCCCAUGCAUUUUCUCCUAGUUCUGAAACUGUGAGGCUACCAACAGCUCCUCUUUCUUCUGCACCCUCCUAUGGGCGCGGGGGGGGGGGGGGGCUAGCUACCUGGUGGUAAAUAUGUUGAUUAAGAAGAGGAAAGAUUGGCACUUUCCUUGGUGCCUCGUUUUCACCUGGCUAAGGGUUCCUGACCUUGAGGGUGUAGCUGGGUGGGGAUUGGGACGGAACCUAUGGAUGGUGCCAGCUCAGAGGUUCAGAAAAGUCAACAUGCAGCUUUCCUAGAGCUGCUUAGUCUGGAAAGCAGAUCCUCAAACCAAAAGAGUAAGGAAGCCUGCCACACACUAGAGAUCUGUCAAAAUCCCAGCCCCGGACCACAGGAAAUUUGGCUGACACAAGGAGGCUGCAGAUGGAAUCUGACAUGUUGAUGAUAACCACAACACCUACCUGUUGAGAAGAGUCAUGCCAAUCAGUGACACCGUCCUUACGAAUCAAUGCCCUGGCCGAUGCCAACAGCCUUUCAUGAUUGCAACAGUCGGAUAAUUAGAUGUUCUGAAGCUUUGCUGGACUUGGCGGGACUGCCCUCGGUUAUAUAAGUACAACCUAACUGAUCCAGAACCUAGAACUUCAACCCUCUCCUUUCCUGGCCUCUUCACUGCCAUACCUACUCCAAGACCAGACUGCAGGCACAAUCACCGACUGUCUCCUACUCCUGCCAUCAGGGGUAAGAGGUGGAAAAGCCAAAGGAAAUCCAUCUCUCUUUCAGAGAGCCAAAAUAAAGCCCUCUAUAAAUUGCUUUUGUGAGGUAUUUUGUCCCAGCACAAGAAUAAGUAAGUUUGAAGAGGUUUUGCAGUUCAAAACCUGCCCUGUAACCACAGCCAACAUAUUGAAGAUGAAAAAUAUUCCUACCUCCUGAACACACCCCUCCUACUCUGUGCAGCAUUCUUCAGACACUGGCACUGGGAACCACUGAUUCCUUUAUUCUGCCCUUCCAAGACUGACUUUGCCUGUUCAAGAAUUUCACAUACACAGGUUAUGAGUUCUGGGAAACCUACCUGGGACCUUUCAACCCAUUACUCACUGUCUGAGACUGAGAGCUGGGAGGACCAAGAAGAUGCCAGAUAGAUUUUGUACUUUCGUUUUGAUAUGCUAAGUUGAUGGCUACUCUUUACAGAGUUUUUAUUUUUUAGACCGGGUCUCACGUAGCCCAGGUUGGUCUCCAAGGUGAUAGGCAGCGAAGAAUGACCUAGUUUUUGUGAAGCUGGAAUCUGACUCAGGACUUUGCUAGGGAAGCACGCUAAGAAAUGAGCUAGGUCCCUGGCCCCACUUUAUAAAGAAACGUGGGGGCUAAUGAAGCACAUUUCAGAAGAUGACUGGAGGAAACAAAACUUUCUUUUUAUCUUUUUGUGAGGGUGUCAUGGCUCAGGACCUCAUGCAGAUUAGGCAGAUGCUAGCGAUCUAUGCCCUAGACUCUGUUAACUUUGAAGCUAUGAGAAAAGCCUGUACCUUCUGAACUCAUUCAUCCUUCAGUGUGUCAAGAAAGGGAGCUGGCAGACACACUGUUGAUGAUAACAGACUAGAAGAAACUUAUUGCGUCUCAUUAAAAGGUUCUCUUCAAAGAUUGAAGGUUAAAAUUUACUUUAGCUGGACCCAAGCCUCACAGGCUCUAAAUGAGAGCAAUGAGCUAUGGGAAGUAUUAGUAAGUCAAAGAGUUGAUACAACAUGGUUGAGCUUUUAAUGGGACUCACCUUUGGUGAUGUGUGAACAAGACCCCCCAAGGUCAUUGUAACCCAUAUGUUUUAAGAGGAUUUAUCUUAACUGGGAGAUUCUUAACUUUCAAAUAUGGUCAAUUAAACAAAUUUAAUAGUU